UCUACCAACAACAACUCACGAGGAACGUCGUAGGCGCGUAUUACAUUCUCAAGUUAUUGGACCAAGCGAACAUUUUUUUAUCGACAUAAGUUCAAUAAUAACUAAAAUAAUCGAAAAUUACAUUUAUGCAUAUGAAUACCAGAAUACCUCGGCAUGAAUCAAAAUAUUUUGAAAAUGUAAUGGUUUUAAAUUCUAAUAAGAAAAAAUCGGUGAAAAUUGCACGUAAAGGUGUAUCUACAGUAAUUUAUUUUAGAGUAGGUAACACGAAAAAACAAAACCGAAUUUAUAUUCCUAAAUUUUUUUUUGUUUUUCCCCGCGCGUUUGUAGACUAGGUACUGUUCAUUUCGACAUCCCCUGUGCACCUACUAGAUUGACUUUGCCACCGGAAAAGAUGAAAAACGGAGCAUUGUUUCGAAUACCUACUUAUCGUGUACGCAGACACAAAUAAUAAAAAUGUAUUAUGCAGAACGUACAUUUGCUAUAUUUAUGUUUCAAUAGAAGUCGAUUCACUCUAAUUUUUAAACUAUUGAUGCUAAAUGUGAUCUGCUGAUCGUACAUUUGAUCUAGGUAUAAGACGGAGACAAUAAAAUGCCCGUGUUACGUCUUAAAUCGUGGAGCUGCAUCGUUCACGAAAUUUCAAAAAUUUAAUGCCCGCGAUUCUGUCUUAUCACUAUGUACACCAAAUAGUAAUAAUUGUUUUAUCAAAUAGAAGAUAACAACAUAAUAUUAUUAUAUUUUCGUAGGUAUGCCGACUUUAAAUUUGAAUCACUCGCGAAUCGCAAUUAUUUGAUAUUUGAACAAAAAUACAGACUACAGAACGGUCGUACAGAGUUCUAUUCACACGUUUUAAUACAGAAAGCACCAUGGAUAGGUGUAUUCUUUUCAGUAAAACAUCCAAUGUAGCCACAUUACGUUAAUCUUCAUUCAUUUCAUAGACGAAUAAAGGAUUUGGAGGCCAUACAGUUGAUGAUUUUAAUUCACCCAGAAAAGCCUUAGAUACCCAAUAAUGUCUAAUUCACAUACGUUUAUUUCAUACAAUGGAUCAUACUUAUUAUUGUUAUCAAAACUGAAAUAAAUUACGUACAAGGAGCUAGGUAGUGGAGCCAAUGUAUUGACAAUUUUUCGGACGUUGAUUUUCUUGAAUAUAAUUCUGCAGACUCAGAUGAAGCCAUACACUAUUGGAGCGAAUUGUGAAACUCAAAGGUGAGAAUAUUGUUGAUAGGUUUUUAUUCCAAAUCUAUUUUACUGUGCUAUUAACUAACAUAGCUACCUGUCCACGGCACACAUAGUAUAUAAUAUCUAAUUGUGUGCGUGGACAUAUUGUAUUAAACCCGUUUAGUCAAAAUAAAAUAAGAAAUAAAUAAUUAUAUUAUGUUACAAUCUUAAAAUAUCCAUGACUUGUUUUAAAAAUAAAAUACAAAUCUAAUGAAGUGCUUGUCCAUAAGGUUCUUUAAAAAAUAUUCUUGCCUUUAAGUUUGAUUAUAACAUUAUGUCAUAUCACUCUAAUAUAUUAAGACUAACCGUACAAAACUGGAUCUACUGUACACACACAUUUGCAUGUUGCUUGUUAUUCAAAGAAAGAAAACAAAUGGUGCACUGACAUAUUUUUAACAACGUCUUAAUUUUUAGGUAAUACAAUAUUGAUGAGCAAGAAUCCAAUUUUAAUAACCCAGAGGGCUCAACAUAUUUAAAUUGCAAAGAAACACAUAACUAGUUUGGACAUUGGUAUCUUUUCUGAAGAGAAAGUGCAUCUAGUUGGACGCGUUAAACAGGUAGUCAAGCCCCAUUUGCCAUUUGCAACGAGUAGAGAAAAACUUCUUUGAAAAGAGAUUAUGCAAUUGCCAAAAAUCUUCAGUGGCUGUUAUUAAAAUUCUUCAACUAUCAACAAUGGACAUAAUUUAUGAAGACUUUAUUUUUAAGUUUUAUAAUAAAAAAUAAAAGUAGGCCCCUAUUUAAAAUCAUUAUGAAUUAUACUAUCUUACUUUUAAAAUAUUUUG